GUGAAAUGCGUAGAUAUCAGGAGGAACACCAGUGGCGAAGGCGGGCUUUCUGGUCCGGAAUUGACGCUGAGGUACUAAAGCGUGGGUAGCAAACAGGAUUAGAUGCCCUGGUAGUCCACGCCCUAAACGAUGGAUACUUGAUGUCGGGAUGUUCGGUCGUCUCGGUGUCGUAGCUAACGUGUUAAGUAUCCCGCCUGGGGACUACGGUCGCAAGACUGAAACUCAAAGGAAUUGACGGGGGCCCGCACCAGCGGUGGAACAUGUGGUUUAAUUCGAUGCAACGCGAAGAACCUUACCUGGGCUUGACAUAUAUAUGAAGUAUGUAAGAAAUUAUGUAUUCUGUCUGCAUUUGCAGGUAGCAUAUAUACAGGUGAUGCAUGACUGUCGUCAGCUCGUGUCGUGAGAUGUAGGGUUAAGUCCCUUAACGAGCGCAACCCUUGCUUUUAGUUGCCAUCAGGUAAUGCUGGGGACUCUAGAAGGACUGCCGAGGUUAACUCGGAGGAAGGUGGGGAUGACGUCAAGUCAGUAUGUCCCUUAUGUCCAGGGCUACACACGUGUUACAAUGGACGGUACAGAGUGCAGCUACGCCGUGAGGCUACGCAAAUCACUUAAAGCCGUUCCCAGUUCGGAUUGGAGUCUGCAAUUCGACUCCAUGAAGUUGGAAUCGCUAGUAAUCGCAGAACAGCAUGCUGCGGUGAUACGUUCCCGGGCCUUGUACACACCGCCCGUCACGCCAUGGAAGUUGGGAGUACCCAAAGUUGCUGUCUAUACGGUNGGAGGUAACUAAGGUAAGACCGAUGACUGGGGCGAAG
rnacentral:rRNA from 1 species